rnacentral:rRNA from 1 species
UACGGGGGGGGCAAGCGUUGUUCGGAAUUACUGGGCGUAAAGGGUUCGUAGGGGGCCAACUAAGUCAGACGUGAAAUCCCUCAGCUUAACUGGGGAACUGCGUCUGAGACUGGAUGGCUUGAGUGCAGGAGAGGAACGCGGAAUUCCAGGUGUAGCGGUGAAAUGCGUAGAUAUCAGGAGGAACACCGGUGGCGAAGGCGGGUCUCUGGGCCGUAACUGACGCUGAGGAGCGAAAGCGUGGGGAGCGAACAGG